CGCCUCAUGCCUGAAAGGGCAACGGUGUCGAAUCGGAGCGAGGCGUCAGCAGAGGCCGUAGUAGUCACGGGAUAGGUCGGCGAGACUGAAGCUAGUGGCGAAGGGC
rfam:Pandoraea thiooxydans strain DSM 25325, complete genome.